CCCCGGGGGGGGGGGCCUAUAAUGCAAGUCGAACGAACUCUGGUAUUGAUUGGUGCUUGCAUCAUGAUUUACAUUUGAGUGAGUGGCGAACUGGUGAGUAACACGUGGGAAACCUGCCCAGAAGCGGGGGAUAACACCUGGAAACAGAUGCUAAUACCGCAUAACAACUUGGACCGCAUGGUCCGAGCUUGAAAGAUGGCUUCGGCUAUCACUUUUGGAUGGUCCCGCGGCGUAUUAGCUAGAUGGUGGGGUAACGGCUCACCAUGGCAAUGAUACGUAGCCGACCUGAGAGGGUAAUCGGCCACAUUGGGACUGAGACACGGCCCAAACUCCUACGGGAGGCAGCAGUAGGGAAUCUUCCACAAUGGACGAAAGUCUGAUGGAGCAACGCCGCGUGAGUGAAGAAGGGUUUCGGCUCGUAAAACUCUGUUGUUAAAGAAGAACAUAUCUGAGAGUAACUGUUCAGGUAUUGACGGUAUUUAACCAGAAAGCCACGGCUAACUACGUGCCAGCAGCCGCGGUAAUACGUAGGUGGCAAGCGUUGUCCGGAUUUAUUGGGCGUAAAGCGAGCGCAGGCGGUUUUUUAAGUCUGAUGUGAAAGCCUUCGGCUCAACCGAAGAAGUGCAUCGGAAACUGGGAAACUUGAGUGCAGAAGAGGACAGUGGAACUCCAUGUGUAGCGGUGAAAUGCGUAGAUAUAUGGAAGAACACCAGUGGCGAAGGCGGCUGUCUGGUCUGUAACUGACGCUGAGGCUCGAAAGUAUGGGUAGCAAACAGGAUUAGAUACCCUGGUAGUCCAUACCGUAAACGAUGAAUGCUAAGUGUUGGAGGGUUUCCGCCCUUCAGUGCUGCAGCUAACGCAUUAAGCAUUCCGCCUGGGGAGUACGGCCGCAAGGCUGAAACUCAAAGGAAUUGACGGGGGCCCGCACAAGCGGUGGAGCAUGUGGUUUAAUUCGAAGCUACGCGAAGAACCUUACCAGGUCUUGACAUACUAUGCAAAUCUAAGAGAUUAGACGUUCCCUUUCGGGGACAUGGAUACAGGUGGUGCAUGGUUGUCGUCAGCUCGUGUCGUGAGAUGUUGGGUUAGUCCCGCAACGAGCGCAACCCUUAUUAUCAGUGCAGCAUAGUGGGCACCUCUGCUGAGACUGCCGUGAACAAACCGAAGGAAGGGUGGGGAUUGAACGUUCAAUCA
rnacentral:rRNA from 1 species